GGAACUGUGAUGUUCUAAUGGUGGUUAUUCAAUCCUUGUUUGAUUUGCUGUUUCUCUCUCUCUAACAGUGUCAGUUACUCAACAUAAGUUACUGUCCAUCAACGGAAGAAGAUGUUCCCAAAGGGAAGAGUUUGGUUGUUGUCGCCUACAAUUCACUUGGAUGGGCCCGUACUGAUAUUAUCAGGAUCCCGGUUAAUGAUUAUAAUCUUGUCGUCAAAGACUCCUCGGGGAAUGUUGUUGAGUCUCAAUAUAUAGAAAUGGAUAAUGUGACAAGUGAACUGAGAAAGUUCUAUCUGAAGGCAUAUCUUGGGAUUUCAGACAUCAAUGCUGCCAAAUAUUGGCUCGUCUUUCCGGCAUCUGUGCCACCUUUGGGCUGGAACACUUACUUCAUCUCUAAAGGAACUCAAAAAGGAAGGAGACGAAAAUUUAUGUCUAUGAUGGAUGUUGCACAGAAUGAAACUAUCAAUAUUGGACCAGGAAACUUGAAACUGUCAAUUUCCACCACAUCAGGGCAACUUACUCGCAUCUUCAAUUCUAAAACAGGAGU